AUGAAAGACACUAGGCAGGUGGAUGUGGAACCUGAAGGCCUCCAACUACAACAACAAAAAAAAGCAUACAUCAACCAAUGUACCUAUUAUGGAUCACCAUUCAUUCAGAAUGGGGCUGGAGGCCUACUAAGCAGUUACCAGGUGACAAGUGGACUAUCUUUUUAUCAAAUCAGACUUGGCACAGCAAGCUGGUUCACGACACCUUCAAAGUUCCAUUUCAGACAUCCUGCUGAUAUACAGCUGGAAUUUCUCAAGGAAGAAUUGCUGGGAAAGAAACAGACUGCAUCAUCUUCUCUGAAGGACGUGUUGGCACAAAAGCAUUUUUAAGUUUCAGAAGUUAAGACUUCUCAGUCUGCUAGCACAGUGCCUUUCAAAUUCUUGAGGCUUCAUAUGGCAAGGAAAACAUUGCAACAAAAGGAGGUAGACAGAGCAGACAAGUAUAGCUGCACAUCUGGCAUGUGUGGACCAUUUAUAAAUUUGCAGACUUGCUGUAGUCAGAGGCUUAGAAGCUGAGAUUCUGAGUAUGUCCAUGUAAUUUGAGAUAUGUUCUCAGGAUAGAAGUCUGUCCUACUAAAUAUGCAGAUGAAACAACUGUUGGAAAACUGAAUUGCAGAGAGAACUCAUCCCUGUGUUUAGCAUUCCCCUACUUCUAGAUAGCAACAAGGGGACUCAUUUUACUGGGUAAUCAAUGCAGAAAAAUUGUACAGCCCUACAGACAGACCUAAAGUAUCCUCUUGCCCACAGCCUCUAAUGAAGUAGGGCUCUAGAGAGAAAAAACUCAGUUUUUAAACCCAAAUGAGCAAAAAAAUCUUUGAAGAACCUGGUCUGAAAUGUCUAGAUGCAUUUGCCUCUCCUAGUUAUGCAGACAAGAAGCAUGUAAGGAAUCCUGCCUAGCUCUUCCUUGUUUCUUCUGCAGCAGACAACAAUCAAGCAGUAUUAUUAUUUGAAAAAAAACCUCCAAUUUUGUAUACACUUUCUGCUGUCACAAUUCAUUGGAAAGUAGCCUUCCAUUAUAGUUUGGCAUGCAAAGAGCAAAUCAGAUGAUGUUACAGUCCUCUUGACCUACCUGCAAAUGAAGAGAGUUCGUAUGAAGCUGACAUUUGCAAUGUAGUGUUAGUUUUGGUUUAAUCUUCCUCUCCUGUACUGGUUUCCAAAGCAAAUAGAAAAAUGGGAGGAGACAUAAUUGCUGAAUUGAUCUGAAGGGCUUUCUCAGACCUGUCAAUUCUGAGAGCAGAAAACAGCAUGGAGUGCUGAUUAUUCUUUCAAAAAUUUGUACUGAAGCUAUGAAGAUCUGGAGACUUAGCAACUUUUUAACACUAGGAUAUUUUAUGCGCUGUUUGGUGUGAAAAAAUGCAGUUAAUAGUCCACAAAGCUCAGCUAAAAAUAGAAUUUAUCUUUAUGGGGAGCCACAAAGCCAAGGGUAUAUACUGUGAUUUUAAACAGUGAGUAACAGUUACUACAUUGUAGUGACAACUCUCAGAAUAUCUACAAAUGCAAAUAUCUAUAAUGGAAAAAUAAGAGAAAGGUAACACUGUCAAGAGCCAUUUAAAGUGGCUUAUUGUGGAUCAUUGCACAUAGUGCACAGAAAAAUAUACAACAUAUUUGACACACUGGGACAUUUGCACACCCACAUUCUCGGAGGAGUGCAUGGAAUUUAAAAGGAGGCUGCAGCCAAAAUGCCUAGGUAAUUUUGUGCCUUCAGUUAGAGCGUGAAUGGGGUGCUUUUUGUUGGUGUGGUCAUCCACAGCAAAGUGGAGCAGUACAUACAGAUAAAUAUGUUCAGGGUAUUUUUUGACUUCUGAUUGCCUAAGAUUUACCAACAACCCUCCUUUUGAUGGAGGGUUGUGUUGUGUUUUCUACAUUAUAACAUUAUGUUGCUGAACUGGUCCUGCAUGUCACUCCAAAAAGACAUGUGGGACCCGCCUUUAGUGAGAAAACAGAAGAGCAACACACUGUACUGUCACUAACACUGCUUUCAAAUAUUCAUGUCAAUAUCUUUGAGGAUAUGUUUAUCAUUGAUUGUAGUACAAAACUGUCUGGAACAUGAGAGUUUACUAAAUUUUUUCUCUUUAUGUUGAUUAGCUCAAAAGUAGGGCAAUAGCAGAAUCCUUAGUCAUGUGUUUUGUACUCCAGAACUUUUUAUUCAUAGUAUUCAUACUUCAAGAUGCAAAAUGUAACCCUCUGAAUUACAGUACUGCCAUAUUUUCUCAUGAAUUAUAAAAAAUAUCAGUAAGAUUGAACUCUGCAUAUGAGAAAUGUAUGAGAGGAAGGAGUUGCAGCGGGUGACAAGUCUGUUCAGCUCAAUGCAGUUAGUCAUCACUGUGGGAGGAUGCAUUCAAGCAACCUGGCAUCAACAAAGCACCUGGUCUCAAACUUUUCAUCACUGUUUUCCAGAAACAGUUGCCAAUGACACCAGCCUGAAUUUAAUUAUUUCCUGGCUUUUGAAGGCUUGACUCUAUGACCUGACAUACUUUGUUUUUGUAGCUCUGUGAUUAAUGUCACACCAUUACAAAACAGUGCCUUAAGGCUGGGGAAAAAGGAAAAAAACCAAAAAAAACCAGCCAAUUCUUGUUUAGGCACUUGUUUUUUGGAAAAGGUUUGUUGUACAACUGGUCUUUCAAGUAGAAUUUCAUAAAAGCUUGAUGUACAUAAAAAAGUGUGCUUUCUCAAAUUAUUAUAAUAAAAGGCUGUCACUUAGUGGUGUAUAGCCUCA
ensembl:lncRNA